UACAGAGGGGGCUAGCGUUGUUCGGAAUUACUGGGCGUAAAGGGCGCGUAGGUGGCCUGUUAAGUCCGAACGUGAAAUCCCCGGGCUCAACCCGGGAACUGCGUCCGAGACUGGCAGGCUCGAAUCCGGGAGAGGGAUGUGGAAUUCCAGGUGUAGCGGUGAAAUGCGUAGAUAUCUGGAGGAACACCGGUGGCGAAGGCGGCAUCCUGGACCGGUAUUGACGCUGAGGCGCGAAAGCCAGGGGAGCAAACGGG
rnacentral:rRNA from 1 species